GACGAACGCUGGCGGCGUGCUUAACACAUGCAAGUCGAACGGUAAGGCCCUUCGGGGUACACGAGUGGCGCACGGGUGCGUAACACGUAGAUAACCUGCCCUGAAGAGGGGGAUAACGUUCCGAAAGGAGCGCUAAUACCGCAUAACGCUGAGACGGGUUCGCCUGUUUCGGACAACGGCUGGGACCAGCAAUGGCCAGUCGCUUUAGGGGGGGUCUGCGGCCCAUCAGCUAGUUGGUAAGGUAAUGGCUUACCAAGGCAAGACGGGUAGCUGGUCUGAGAGGAUGAUCAGCCACACUGGUACUGGAACACGGACCAGACUCCUACGGGAGGCAGCAGUGGGGAAUCUUGGUCAAUGGGCGCAAGCCUGAACCAGCGACGCCGCGUGAGUGAUGAAGGCCUUCGGGUUGUAAAGCUCUGUGGGGAGGGACGAAAGACUGAGGUCUAAUAGGCUUCAGGUUGACGGUACCUCCUUAGCAAGCACCGGCUAACUCUGUGCCAGCCGCCGCCGUAA
rnacentral:rRNA from 1 species